GCAGUCGAACGGCAGCGCGGGCUUCGGCACUGGCGGCGAGUGGCGAACGGGUGAGUAAUGCAUCGGAACGUGCCCAUGUCGGGGGGGAUAACGUAUCGAAAGCUACGCUAAUACCGCAUACGCCCUGAGGGGGAAAGCGGGGGAUUCUUCGGAACCUCGCGCGAUUGGAGCGGCCGAUGUCGGAUUAGCUAGUAGGUGAGGUAAAGGCUCACCUAGGCGACGAUCCGUAGCGGGUCUGAGAGGAUGAUCCGCCCCACUGGGACUGAAACACGGCCCAGACUCCUACGGGAGGCAGCAGUGGGGAAUUUUGGACAAUGGGGGCAACCCUGAUCCAGCCCUGCCGCGUGAGUGAAGAAGGCCUUCGGGUUGUAAAGCUCUUUCGGCCGGGAAGAAAUCGGGGACUCUAACAUAGGCGCUGGAUGACGGUACCGGACUAAGAAGCACC
rnacentral:rRNA from 1 species